CCUACGGGAGGCAGCAGUGGGGAAUAUUGGGCAAUGGGCGCAAGCCUGACCCAGCAACGCCGCGUGAAGGAAGAAGGCUUUCGGGGUGUAAACUUCUUUUGACAGGGAAGAGCAGAAGACGGUACCUGUCGAAUAAGCCACGGCUAACUACGUGCCAGCAGCCGCGGUAAUACGUAGGUGGCAAGCGUUGUUCGGAUUUACUGGGUGUAAAGGGCGUGUAGCCGGGCUGACAAGUCAGAUGUGAAAUCCGGGGGCUCAACCCCCGAACUGCAUUUGAAACUGUUGGUCUUGAGUAUCGGUGAGGCAGGCGGAAUUCCUAGUGUAGCGGUGAAAUGCGUAGAUAUUAGGAGGAACACCAGUGGCGAAGGCGGCCUGCUGGACGACAACUGACGGUGAGGCGCGAAAGCGUGGGGAGCAAACAGGAUUAGAUACCCUUGUAGUC
rnacentral:rRNA from 1 species